GGGAGGUCCAUUGCUAGGCCUUCCAGUCCCGGGCUCGCCUAUAAAAGGUGGAGGAAGCUUGCAAGCACACCAGACGCUGCUCCUCGAUUCGCGACAUCUUAAGCUUCUGUCACUCAACACCAUGAGAACACUGAACCUCCUGCUGGUGGUGGCCUUGGCCCUGACUGCGCUGGUGGUGGUGGAGGCCAUGCCCGGCCCCUUCCCCGACGCUGAUCCCGAGGCCCUCGCCGACCCUGGCCCUUGGGGUGGAUAUAGACGCUUUGGUGGCUUUGGGUUUGGCCGUGGCUUUGGACGAGGCUAUGGAUUUGGAGGUUACUGGCGUUGAUUAACACAGAAUAUACUGGCGAGGGAAGCAGGUGAGCUAAGAAGACUGCGGUGUUACUCACGCCACAACUCGGCUGUUUUCCCUUCGUGCCAGUCAAGUGCAGCGAGAGGCAGACUAUCAUCACUGCCUCUGGUACGCUGCUAACAUCCUCGCCACCUCUGACUUCGUCGAUCUUUGACAUCUUCCCAAUAUUAGAAGAAAACUUGUCCUCUUCAGUAACUAACAUACAUAUACACUAGAUAUCAUUUUAUCGUAACUGGUUCAAAAUAAAAUGCACUCACUAGA